UACGGAGGGUGCAAACGUUGCUCGGAAUCAUUGGGCGUAAAGCGCACGUAGGCGGCCUGUUAAGUCGGAUGUGAAAGCCCCGGGCUCAACCCGGGAAGUGCAUUCGAAACUGGCGGGCUUGAAUAUGGAAGAGGGUCGCGGAAUUCCCGGUGUAGAGGUGAAAUGCGUAGAUAUCUGGAGGAAUACCGGUGGCGAAGGCGGCAUCCUGGACCGGCAUUGACGCUGAGGAGCGAAAGCUAGGGGAGCAAACGGGG
rnacentral:rRNA from 1 species